UACGAAGGGGGCUAGCGUUGCUCGGAAUCACUGGGCGUAAAGCGCACGUAGGCGGCUUUUUAAGUCAGGGGUGAAAUCCUGGAGCUCAACUCCAGAACUGCCUUUGAUACUGAGAAGCUUGAGUCCGGGAGAGGUGAGUGGAACUGCGAGUGUAGAGGUGAAAUUCGUAGAUAUUCGCAAGAACACCAGUGGCGAAGGCGGCUCACUGGCCCGGUGCUGACGCUGAGAUGCGAAAGCGUGGGGGAGCAAACAGG
rnacentral:rRNA from 1 species